GAACGCUGGCGGCGCGCCUAACACAUGCAAGUCGAACGAGCGAGAGAGAGCUUGCUUUCUCGAGCGAGUGGCGAACGGGUGAGUAACGCGUGAGGAACCUGCCUCAAAGAGGGGGACAACAGUUGGAAACGACUGCUAAUACCGCAUAAGCCCACGGGUCGGCAUCGACCAGAGGGAAAAGGAGCAAUCCGCUUUGAGAUGGCCUCGCGUCCGAUUAGCUAGUUGGUGAGGUAACGGCCCACCAAGGCAACGAUCGGUAGCCGGACUGAGAGGUUGAACGGCCACAUUGGGACUGAGACACGGCCCAGACUCCUACGGGAGGCAGCAGUGGGGAAUAUUGCACAAUGGGGGAAACCCUGAUGCAGCGACGCCGCGUGGAGGAAGAAGGUCUUCGGAUUGUAAACUCCUGUUGUUGAGGAAGAUAAUGACGGUACUCAACAAGGAAGUGACGGCUAACUACGUGCCAGCAGCCGCGGUAAAACGUAGGUCACAAGCGUUGUCCGGAAUUACUGGGUGUAAAGGGAGCGCAGGCGGGAAGACAAGUUGGAAGUGAAAUCUAUGGGCUCAACCCAUAAACUGCUUUCAAAACUGUUUUUCUUGAGUAGUGCAGAGGUAGGCGGAAUUCCCGGUGUAGCGGUGGAAUGCGUAGAUAUCGGGAGGAACACCAGUGGCGAAGGCGGCCUACUGGGCACCAACUGACGCUGAGGCUCGAGAGUGUGGGUAGCAAACAGGAUUAGAUACCCUGGUAGUCCACACCGUAAACGAUGAUUACUAGGUGUUGGAGGAUUGACCCCUUCAGUGCCGCAGUUAACACAAUAAGUAAUCCACCUGGGGAGUACGACCGCAAGGUUGUAACUCAAAGGAAUUGACGGGGGCCCGCACAAGCAGUGGAGUAUGUGGUUUAAUUCGACGCAACGCGAAGAACCUUACCAAGUCUUGACAUCCUGCGACGCACAUAGAAAUAUGUGUUUCCUUCGGGACGCAGAGACAGGUGGUGCAUGGUUGUCGUCAGCUCGUGUCGUGAGAUGUUGGGUUAAGUCCCGCAACGAGCGCAACCCUUACUGUCAGUUACUACGCAAGAGGACUCUGGCAGGACUGCCGUUGACAAAACGGAGGAAGGUGGGGAUGACGUCAAAUCAUCAUGCCCCUUAUGACUUGGGCUACACACGUACUACAAUGGCGUUAAACAAAGAGAAGCAAGACCGCGAGGUGGAGCAAAACUCAGAAACAACGUCCCAGUUCGGACUGCAGGCUGCAACUCGCCUGCACGAAGUCGGAAUUGCUAGUAAUCGUGGAUCAGCAUGCCACGGUGAAUACGUUCCCGGGCCUUGCACA
rnacentral:rRNA from 1 species